UUAACCCGUACAGGUCAGCUCUAUCUCCAGAAACAGUUAACAUGCUUAUGUGUAGAGCUGAUUAGAUGAGAACACGUUAUAAUAUGAAAAAACAAGAUGAGAUUGAAGUUGAAAAUGAGAUUGCUGAGAUUAUCUUGCCAGAUAAAUUAUGACUGGGUAAAUAGUUGUCAAUUAGAUUAAUCUUGGCAUGGCAUUGGUGAUACUGGGCUCUUGGACCAUUUGCUGAAGCACAUUGAUGGUAAAGUGGCACCAGGUGGUGCAGAAAGGUUUAGGUGUUGUUACAACACUAAAGGAGUGAUGGCUUGCAGAUUGCCGUCAACGAUGAGGUCUGAUUAUAUGUCGGUGUCUGGUACUGAAGAAGUUCAGCUUGAGAAAGAUAGUUUGUUAGAUAAAGCUUUGGAUGCUUUAUACGAGAAAAGGUGUGUUUAAUGUAAUUCAUUUUUUUAUUAUUUAGUAAUUGAUUUUAUUAAUGUUUUUCUUGCUAGCUAUUUCUUUCAUAAAUCAAAAU